GGCUCAGGAUGAACGCUAGCGGCAGGCUUAAACACAUGCAAGUCGAGGGGUAUAGUUCUUCGGAACUAGAGACCGGCGCACGGGUGCGUAACGCGUAUGCAAUCUACCUUUCACAAAGGGAUAGCCCAGAGAAAUUUGGAUUAAUACCUUAUAGUAUAUAUGAAUGGCAUCAUUUAUAUAUUAAAGAUUUAUCGGUGAAAGAUGAGCAUGCGUCCCAUUAGCUUGUUGGUAAGGUAACGGCUUACCAAGGCGACGAUGGGUAGGGGUCCUGAGAGGGAGAUCCCCCACACUGGUACUGAGACACGGACCAGACUCCUACGGGAGGCAGCAGUGAGGAAUAUUGGACAAUGGGCGCAAGCCUGAUCCAGCCAUGCCGCGUGCAGGAUGACGGUCCUAUGGAUUGUAAACUGCUUUUGUACAGGAAGAAACACUCCCUCGUGAGGGAGCUUGACGGUACUGUAAGAAUAAGGAUCGGCUAACUCCGUG
rnacentral:rRNA from 1 species